rnacentral:rRNA from 1 species
GAUGAACGCUGGCGGCGUGCCUAAUACAUGCAAGUCGAACGAAACUUCUUUAUCACCGAGUGCUUGCACUCACCGAUAAAGAGUUGAGUGGCGAACGGGUGAGUAACACGUGGGCAACCUGCCCCAAAGAGGGGGAUAACACUUGGAAACAGGUGCUAAUACCGCAUAACCAUAGUUACCGCAUGGUAACUAUGUAAAAGGUGGCUAUACUACCGCUUUUGGAUGGGCCCGCGGCGCAUUAGCUAGUUGGUAGGGUAAAGGCUUACCAAGGCAAUGAUGCGUAGCCGAAUUGAGAGGGUGAUCGGCCACAUUGGGACUGAGACACGGCCCAAACUCCUACGGGAGGCAGCAGUAGGGAAUCUUCCACAAUGGGCGAAAGCCUGAUGGAGCAACGCCGCGUGGGUGAAGAAGGUCUUCGGAUCGUAAAACCCUGUUGUUAGAGAAGAAAGUGCGUGAGAGUAACUGUUCACGUUUCGACGGUAUCUAACCAGAAAGCCACUGCUAACUACGUG